rnacentral:rRNA from 1 species
CAGCAGCCGCGGGAAUACGAAGGGUGCAAGCGUUACUCGGAAUUACUGGGCGUAAAGCGUGCGUAGGUGGUUGUUUAAGUCUGCUGUGAAAGCCCUGAGCUCAACCUGGGAAUUGCAGUGGAUACUGGGCAACUAGAGUAAGGUAGAGGAUAGUGGAAUUUCCGGUGUAGCAGUGAAAUGCGUAGAGAUCGGAAGGAACAUCUGUGGCGAAGGCGACUAUCUGGGCCAUUACUGACACUGAGGCACGAAAGCGUGGGGAGCAAACAGGAUUAGAUACCCCAGUAGUCCCUGUCUCUUAUAC